GGAGUGGGAGGCUGUCCGGGAGGGGGAGUGUGGAAGGAGAAAAGGGCCAAGGGAAGGACUUACUUUCCCCGCGGGACCCGGCGCCAGCACAGCUCCUCCCGGGAGGUGUGAGUUUGAAGGACCAGAGGCGACUGGAGCGGAGGCGGCGGUGGCGGCGGCAGCAGCGGCGUCCUGCUCUGCCUACCUCCCCGCCGCCAUCUUGACGCCCCUCCCCCAGCCCCCCCGCCCCGCCGGGAGGGGCGGGGGAGGGGCAACGGAUGAGGCGCCGCGCGCACGCAGCGCCCUCACGUGACUUCCUCCCUCCUCCCCCACCCGCCUCUCUGCGCCCCUCUCCGCCCCGCCUCCCUCCUAGGUGAAGGAAGAUGAUUUCCCCCCCAUCUUGACCACCCCCCAGUCUUCGCCGCCAAAAACGGACUCCGCCGGCUAUCCUCGGCCCGGUACCAGUUGUUGGAUCCAAGAGAAUUCCGGAACCCAAACGGUCCAUUACCGCGGCUCUGGGGUGGGCGAGGGGCUCGCUCAAAGCACUUUAUUGGCAGUGAAACCGCAAGUAACCCGGAGCCCUCGGCGCGACCACGGCUAGAAUCAGAGCCUAAGGCGUGUGAGCUCAGCCAUCCCACGUCUGUCUUCACGCUCAUACGCAAGCCCGACACACCGG
rnacentral:lncRNA from 10 species